CAUAGCGACUAUCGUGGCAUAUCAAUAAGCGGAGGAAAAGAAACUAACAAGGAUUCCCUUAGUAACGGCGAGUGAAGCGGGAAGAGCUCAAAUUUGAAAUCUUCAAGGUUCUACCUUGACGAAUUGUAGUUUAUAGAAGUGUUUUCUGUUAGUGGAGUGGCAAAAGUUCUUUGGAAUAGGACAUCAUAGAGGGUGAGAAUCCCGUAUUUGACCAUUUCUUCCAGCUGUGUGAUACACUUUCAAAGAGUCGGAUUGUUUGGGAAUGCAGUCCAAAAUGGGUGGUAAGUUUCAUCUAAAGCUAAAUAUUGGCGAGAGACCGAUAGCGAACAAGUACCGUGAGGGAAAGAUGAAAAGAACUUUGAAAAGAGAGUUAAACAGUACGUGAAAUUGUCAAAAGGGAAGCGUUUGACACCAGUGUUGUUUUCUCGAAAAUCAAUUAACGAAUGUUUGAUUUUGGAGUUAUGACUUCAUCAGCUUGCUGCAUCUCUUUAUUAUCUUUCUUAAUGCACUUUUCGUUUAACAAGUCAACAUCAGUUUCUUUUGUUGUAAAAGGGUCAUGAGGAAGGUGGCUUUCUUUUCGGAGAAAGUGUUUAUAGCCUUUGAUCUCUGCAACCGGAGAGACUGAGGUCCGCAGCGUAGACUCUUCGGGGUUAAAUACAUUUGUGCUAAGCUAUAGCUUUUUAUAGACAACUUGUUGACUAUAUUUAGUCUUGUAGCUUACUCGCUUAUGCUAUUCUACCUACGCUUAGGAUGUUGAUAGUCACAGCGUGUAC
rnacentral:rRNA from 1 species